AUUGAACGCUGGCGGCAGGCCUAACACAUGCAAGUCGAACGAGUGGCGGACGGGUGAGUAAUGUCUGGGAAACUGCCUGAUGGAGGGGGAUAACUACUGGAAACGGUAGCUAAUUCCGCAUACCAACGGAUUUGCCCAGCUGGGAUUAGCGAGUAGGUGGGGUAACGGCUCACCUAGGCGACGAUCCCUAGCUGGUCUGAGAGGAUGACCAGCCACACUGGAACUGAGCCACGGUCCAGACUCCUACGGGAGGCGGCAGUGGGGAAUAUUGCACAAGGGGGGCAAGCCUGAUGCAGCCAGGCCGCGGGUAGGAAGAAGGCCUUCGGGUUGUAAAGUACUUUCAGCGGGGAGGCGUUACCCGCAGAGGAAGCACCGGCUAACUCCGUGCCAGCAGCCGCGGUAAUUC
rnacentral:rRNA from 1 species